GAAAAUAUGACGAGAUUAUAUUGAGCACCGCAGUGCUUCCCUACCAAGGACCUGAUUAUGAAGAUUGCAAAUCAAGUAGAACUGCAUGCAGGUCACAGGGAGCCUAUCCCAGGGGGCUGAGGAGACACCCUGGAUGGUGCCAACCCAUCACAAGUAGAUGCUGUGAACCAGAGAGAGAUGGAGCCAGUGGAGCUGACACAACACACUCACCUUGAGCUUGAAGUUGAACUUAGUCGAACUUGGCAAGCUGUGAAUAACUUGGUGGUUUGGAUUUAAUUUGAUUUUUAGUUCUACAGCGGUGCCAAAACCCGGGAGGAGGUAUGAGAUGCUGCCAUGGAAACGUCCCUGCUCAGUGAGAUAACUCGCCAGCCUCCACCAGAAACAACACCAGGCUCUCCUCGUCCUGCAAAAGGGACAAGAGCAUUGCUUUGAAGCCGUAGCUGAGGAGCAGACCAAGGACCAAUAGAUGCCCCAGAUGCGAAAUCAUCCGGCUGUCUAACUACAUGUCCUGCAAAAGAAAUGGCCAUUUCCACUCUGGGUUACACCAAUAUGUAACCCUUACAUUUGGUUUGUUUGGAGCCCCAGGCUCAUUUCAAUAUCUCUAUUCAAUAUCAUUUCAAUAUGGACAAAACACUCCACCUGCACAGCACAUAUGCCGCUACGUAUUUAGAUCAUAUAAUCAUUUAUAGUAAUGAUUGGCAGUGGCAUUUACAACAUGCCAUGCUAAAUUCCUUCAGACAGGCAGGACCCACAGCAAACCCAAAAAAGUGUGCAAUUGGACUGGUGGAAGUGCGGUAUCCAGGCUUCCACUUGGGCCAUGGGCAGGUGUGUCCCCAAAUUGACAAGACAGCAGCAAUUGUGGCCUGUCCAAAACCCAAAACCAAAAUGGGGUUAGGCAGAUGUCACCAGCCCAUUGACAGGUCUCACUAAAAAGAGGGUGCCAGUGUGAAUGAGCUUUUUUUUCCCAGAUAAAAGCAGUUUUGUGUAGGGCCCUGCUGUUGCAUUCUCCUGACUUCUCUUUCCAUAAUCUUCUUCAGACUGAUGCAGAGGAUCAGAGGACUGGGGUCCAUUUUGUUCCAGGUGUGGAGGAGCAAUCGGUGCUGUACAAGCAAAUAUAUAACAUUCAAGAAGAUUUGCUUGGCCAACAAUUGGGCGGUCCUCACCCUACAAUACUACCUAUUCGGGCACUGCUUUAACCUCAGUUCUGAUCACCCUAACCCUAACCUGUUUUGGAUGGUGGGGGUUGUGGUAAAGGGGGUGUAGUCAAGCAUCAGCUGUGCACAGACAGAGGAGGUUGGUUGAACCUUGCUACAUAUAUGCAAGCCAGAGAAAGCCAGAGCUGCCAGAGCCAACACAAUACACUUGCUUGAGGUUGAACUUGAACUUAGUGUAACUGGGCAAUCUUUGAACAGCUUAGUGGUUUGGAUUUAAGUUUAUUUCAUUUGGAUUUAAUUUGAAGUCAAAGAGAAGCAUGUGGUCAAUAUACGACCUACAUUUACAAUUACAUUUAUGACCUUUGGCAGAUGCCCUUAUACAGAUCGACUUACAGAAGUGCUUUGAAGUCUUUAUUAAUAAAUACAUCCUCAUACUCGUACCCUGAGAGAUGGUGAGCUCAACUGAGAAGUGCUAGAGGAUUGUAGGGAGCAUGAUGCAGUACAGGGUGCGAUACGAGCUUUAAGGUAGGUGGGUAUUGGUCCAUUUGUUGCUUUGUAGGCAAGCAUCAGUGUUUUAAAUCUGAGGCGGGCAGCUUCAGGAAGCCAUAGGAGGGAGCGUAGCAAUGGGGUGAUGUGGGAGAACUUGGGAAGGUUGAAAACACUUUGUGCAGCUGCAUUCUGGAUAAGAGGUCAAAUGGCAUGCAGAGGUAGACCUGCCAGAAGCAAGUUGCAGUAGUCCAGUCUUGAAAUGACAAGGGACUGAACAAGCACCUGAGCCUCCUUAGAUGAAUCCUUGUAAAGAAUAAAUCUAGGGACGUGAUCAUUCAGAUUUAUCCUUGUAAUUUUAUCAUUCAGAUUUAUCCUUGUAAAGGAUAAAUUUAUCCUUGUACAGGAUAAAUCUGCAUGAGCACAUCAGUUUGGUAAUAUGAGAGGAGAAAGAUGGUCCAUGGUCACCCCAAGGUUGCAUGCAGUGACAGAUGGCGAGAUCUGAGAGUUGUCCAGGGAGAUCAUAAGAUCCUGACAUGGAGUUGUAUCUCCUGGGAUGAAUAACAGUUCAGUUUUGCUAGGAUUAAGUUUCAGCUGAUGAGCUGACAUCCGUGAUGAGAUGUCUGCUAGACAUUCUGAGAUCCAAGCAGAAAUAUGAGUGUCUACGGGAGGACUGGAGAGGAUAAGUUGAGAAUCAUCUCCAUAGCUGUGUUAUGAAAACCCAUGUGAGGAUAUGACCUCACCAAGAGACUACCCCUCCAGGUAGGAAGCAAACCACUGCCAUGCUGGGUCACAAAUUCUCAUGAGGAUGGACAAGGGAAUCUUGUGGUUGACUGUGUCAGACAUUGUUGAAAGGUCAAGGAGGAUGAGGACUGAUGAGAGUUUGGCUGAUCUAGUGGCAUGGAGCUUCUCAGUGAUGGCCACAAGGGAAGUUUCUGUGGAAUGUGCCAUUUUAAAGCCAAACCGGUUAGGAUCUUGGAGGUUGUUCUGGGUGAGAUAGAGAGACAGUUGAUUGUAGAUGGUGCAUUCAAGAAUAUUUGAAAGGAAAGAGAGAAGUGAGACUGGUCAGUACUUGCUGAUGUCUAAGGGAUCCAGAGUGAGUUUCUUCAGGAUGGGAAUAACCCCUGCUGCCUUGAAUGCAUUUGGUACAUGACCAGAUGUUAUAGAGUCAUUAAUGAUGGUAGUGACGAAAAGGAGGAAGUCUUGUGAGAUGGUCUGAAGCAUUGUGGAAGGGAUGGUAUCCAACAGGCAGGUGGUGGGAUUGCAGGACAAGAUGAUUUGCAGGAUCUCUUCUGUUGAUGGAUGAGAAAAAUGUGUCAGAGAAGGAGAAAGUAAAAUAAAGUGCAGGCACUGUUGCUCCAUUAGUGAUGCUUUAAAAAGAUUCAUUGGUCCCAUGGGAGCUCAGCUUAGCCAUGUGCUUGCAGCUAUCGGCCCUCUGGGUGGUCCUCACUACACAGGGUCUACAGGGGUAAUCAGAUGCAGCAUAUCUAAUCCAGGGCUGCUGUAGUCUGUAUUGCCAGUACUGCCAUGGCAACAAUAAUUUUUAUUAAUGUAUUGCUCAGCAAUACUACUUUUCUCAGCUGUCAAAGAAGCAGUUUAGUUUGUAGAUAAACAAUUUUUCUUUGCUCACUGACAAUGGUCCAAGGUGUUCUGACAGAAAUGUUUAAGAAGAUAUUUUGCUUGAUUUUUGAAAACCAGAAGAAGGAUAAAUGUAUACAAUUUAUUGGGCACUGGCACCAUUACUGACAGCAUUACUAGUUAAUACAUGUUCUCUGACACAAUCAAGUAAAUGUGCCACUGAGUACGGCCCACUUCAAUCACUUCUUUUUCCUCAGCAAUGCACACAACAAGCAGGCUCAGUGAAAUGUAGUGCUGGUAACUGACAAACAGGGGUAAAAUUAAACAUUAACUCAAACAGGUAGAGGCAAGGAUGGAUUAAGAACUCAGAGGCCCAUGGGCCAAUACACCAUGGAGAUACUAUCCUUGGCAUGGAUUGCUGUUUCAGUAAUGUUAGCCACAGCACUCAGAUCUCUACUAACUUCCGUUGGUUUAAAAUAGGUUGAUAUAGCUGGUACAUCGGCCCAUGCUACUAUCUCUCUCAUUUCCUUCUUUUUUGUUUUCUUUUAGCAGCUCCACUAAUCCACUUUAGUUCCAUUUUCAAAUUUGCCAGGUAUCACACAAAUGUAUCCUUAGCUAAUAAGUUGAUGCAUUAUCUGACUGGUCUAGGUGUCAUCAUCUGAAAAAUGAAAACCAAUAAGAGAAUUAUAUGAAAUAAGUGUAUACUAGUUAUGCUCACUGGUUUAAAAAUCAUAAAUUGUUCACUUGAAAAUGAUGAAGCUUUCAAUUACAAACUUCAAGGAAUAAAAGAGAGGCCCUAGAGGCCCAUGGGAAAUGGCCCAAUUGGCCCUUUGGUUAAUCAGUCAUUGGGUGGAGGGCACGAAGAGUCUUUUUCUCAAGAUUAGCCAAGCUAAGGACAGCCCCCAUUUACAGAGGGAGAUCUAACACAGCCUGAAUUAGAUCCCUAGACAGUGAUUACAUCGUGGUUUUCUUUUAUUAAUCAUGUCACCACAGCACAGGCUAGGUUCUGCAUGCAAGUUUGCUUUGCUACUAGAUAUUCAUUCAGAUACAUCCACUAAUUUAUUCAGAUACAUGGUUUGGUCAAAUGUGCAUCCUGAUCAUGCAUUUUCUAAAUCAGACAGCCAACAUCUUUAGAGAUUUAAAAUAGCUUGUUGCUGUGUUAUUUUAUAUGCACAAACAGGGCCCAGGUGCAAGUGAAUGGAUAAGGGCCCUCUGCCCACCCCAACUUCCCCAAAAUCUACUGCCGUUGUACAAACAUAGACCAAGAGAAUAAUUAGUAUAUUCUUCAGUAAUUAGUUCUUUAAAGAAAAAAACACAUAGACAUACCUUAAAUUUGGAGACAUUGCAAUUUUUUCUCAGCAAAUCUAGCAAUGGCAUCAUUGAACUCCACCUGUCUUGCAGUACUGUUCUCUAUGGGGAGCAAAAGCAGAGAUGACAGUCUUUCUUGUGACAUGCUAGAUCUCAGAUAAUUCUUUUUUAUCAGUUUCAGUUUGCUAAAAGAUCAUUCUGCACUUGCUCAUCCACAGUCAUUUCACUAGGAAUCUUAUUUCUGCACCGUGUGCGAUGCUCUGUGAAGGUAGGCCUAAUAUCCAUUUUUCUGGCAAGCUCCUUUCCUUUCUCACUGGCAUGAUGGAAUCCUCUUUGUCAAUAAGA